UUGAAAAUAUUUUCUUACAUGAUGGGAAAGAAGGGGAAAUUGGCAGUGCUGGUCACGAUGGUUUUGACUGUGACUAUUAUCAUUAUUAUCAUUGUUUUCUACCUUUACCAAUUCACUGUUAUUCAAAUUGUGUUGUGGGUACCAUCCCAUUGAGUUCUUGAUGGUCACAUGGGUAUUGAAGUGUGAAAAGCUUGUUGAUGGCUUUGUCUUCAUGCUAUAUCGAAGAAGGCAUCAAAGCUGCAUCAAUUGGCUGAGAUUGUUCUCAAUGGGGAACCAGUCAAGACUUGCUGCAAAGGACGGAUUCAUCUCAGGGUCGACGUUGCUGGCUGGACAGAAGUUGCGAAUUCUACCUUCAAAGGAUGAGCAAUGAGCAAAUCCCAAGAGCCACUAGGUCGUCCAAGGAUAAUCCCCUUUGGGAGAAGCUUUGUUGCAGCUGAGAAAUGUUGAACCUUGGAGAUGGCAAUUGUAUUGUUUCACUAGCCUUUGAUAUCCUUCCAUCCUUUCUCCCUUUGGGAACAUCCCAUGUUGGGCCUCCAGACUCUAGAGCCACAAUAUCAGCGCAAGAGACAACACCGGGGCAAUAGGAUUCCAGUUCUUUCUUUGCGUUGUCGAUCACGAAAAACGAGUGCAAAGAUAAAUUAGGAGGCCCAUCUUUCUCAGCUUUGUUGUUACCUACUGAAUUCAGCAGUACAGAUGCAUCACAGCCCUUCACCCAAGCAAACAAAACCAGUCAUGAAAGUGCAUCCGGAGGAGUCCCGCAGGGACAGUCUUGUCUUUGUAAGCUGCACUCCUGACAGCUUUAUUAACGAUGAAGUCAACACCUGGACAUGUCUUCUCGUAGUAGUCUAAGCUCAGUGAACUCCCCAAAGGCAAAACAGACAGCAAAAGAAUUGCAAAGUGUGAGAAUACCACAGCAAAUGAGGCCAUGACCUACAAAUAUAGAAAAUGAAAGGUGAUAGAAGAGUUACAAUACAAAGCCGUGACAUGAUAGCGGCCCCAGACGUUGAACAAAUGCAAAUGAUGACGAAGUGAUUCUGAAGCAAUGCUGAUCCAACAACAUGCACGACACUGGCUGCUGUUGCUCCUUGAACCUUCAACUUUCGGACUUAGGGAGUGGGACAACAUCAUGCCAAAAUUUUGGUAGCUCGAGAGGCCAGGAUUUCUUCGUUUACAGAGUAAAAGGUAUGCUACAGUUCCCUUCAACUUUAUUUAAAUUAUUAAACGGUAGUUUCCAAUGCUUCAUUUUUUUUUAACCAAAGUUUUGAAAUAUUUGUAUUUGAGAUAGAAAAAUUAUAGACCAUUUUUAGAGAGAGAAAAUAGAUAGAAAUUGUGUAACAGUCUAAGCCUAAGCCUAAGCCUAAGCCUAAGUAGGCUAACAAAUAUUGUCCAUUUCCGUUUUUAAACACAUCUAAUAAGGAGAGAUUUUUAUGUCUCAUCUCACAAACCAACCCUCUUGAGGGUCAGUGUCCUCGCUGGUAUACGGUCCAGUGACGACUCUAAUACUAUUUGUAAUA